rnacentral:lncRNA from 1 species
AUGUUUGGUUUUCAGCAUUAUCUAGACUGUCUCUAUAAAAGAUGAGAAACUCUUGUAGAGCUAUCAUGGAAUCUCUCUGGUUCUCAGAUAGGAAUUUAAGCCGAGACCUUAAAGAACCCUCUCCUUUCUUCUUUCUGUACUUGCUUCGGCGGGCUCAGGAGCAUCCGUCAUAACUCCCAAGUUCAUGGUCAUCAUCGUUGCCACCGUGACCCUUUCCAGGGCCCUUGGGCUCCGAGGCACUUGGCUUCUUCACACUCGAUGGACUGUGACCCCGCUGUGUGGAUCCCACUCCCUCUCCCAUCAGGACGGAGGUCAAGUCCAAGGCCGUGACCAGACCCCUGUCGAGGUACCAUCUUGCAGGCUCUGUCUCCUGCAACCUCCUGCUGACAGUUGUGCAUCGUAAGGAUCCAAUCAGGAGACAGAAACCACCUCAGACAUGUGAACAGGGAAAAGGUAAUACGAAGAAUAAUAACUCUCAAGCUACGCAAGGGGGUCUAGUCAUGAAGGGACCUGAAGUGCAGAUACAGAAGGCAUCUGUCACCUCUGGGCUAAGGGCACUGGGCUAGGGAAGAAGCAAGACCUUGAAAGAGGCUGUCCCCCAGCAAGGCCUACGUUCUGAUUUCUUCUGGAGGGUGUGGCUGCCACAGGGACAAAUUUUUUUUUUGCCAAAGGAAGAGAAAGUUCCUGCAGGGCACAUGCAGGCCUGGUCCAUAGGAAAGUGCCACCCGGAGGAGCUUGCUGGGGGGUCCCCUUGAAAUCAGCAGGAGGCUGUGCAGCCCUUAGAUGAGCUGUCCGGGUCUCCCACUGGGUGCUACAUGGAAGUCAGUGACCUCGAGGUGACAUGAACACAUGUCCCCCGUCCCCCACUGCUGGGCACUCGCUCUCUGCAUUGACAAGGACUGUCAUCAAACGGGCUGGUAGAGGAAGAAAACAUUGACGAGGGCUAGCCUUGGUAGAGCAAAGAAGGGCAGAUUUGGAGAGGAGAGGCAUCAAAUUGAUCCCUGGUGCAACCGGGGACCCCAGUGCUGGGAAAUGCUCCUUGAGUUUGGCAUCAGGAAACUGGGGUCGGCUCCAGGCUCUGCCCGCUGAGUCAUCUCAGUCAAGCGACUUCACCUCUCUGAGCAUCAGUUUCCUCAUCUGCAAAGGGUAAGUAUGAUUGUGCCCGAGAGCUGGGGAGAGGACGCCCAGGGCACGGCGUGCUUCCAGAGCCAGGAACGGGAGGCGGGCAGGGCCUGGCGAGGUGGGCACUGCAGAAUCACACUGGACUUUCUAUUUUCUCCCGGCCUGUGUCUGCCUCCAUGGUGACCGCUUAACACAUCAGCCCUGUGAAUUGUCAUGACCUUGGCAUUUCACAGGAUGCUCAGGUUCCAAGUGAAAGCCACAGCUCCCGGUGACUUAUACAGCAAUGACAUUCAUCGCUGCAUGUGAUGAGAAUCUAGGCAGGAUGGCAUUUCCCAUCUGGCCCAUUCUGCAGCUCAAGGGCCAUUCUUGGACUUUUGGGGAACUUAGAAAGGGUCCCUGCAAAGUGGCACCAGGGAGGAGAGAAGAAGGUGACGCUGGCUACUGCUUAUGGAGCUUUCCGUGUGGCCUGGUCGGGGUAGGCUGCUUGCCUUCUGGGCCUCCUCUGCACAGCUGGAUAGGAUGGCCCCCCCAUGGCUCAGGGAGGCAAUGGGGGUGACUUCCUGUGUCUGGCACGUGGUAGGCACGAGCCCUUGCUGUGUCACCUUGCUGUUUUUGUGCUGUGGGCGUGGCCGAUGUCACCCGAAAGCCAUGGAUGAGAGGUUCCACUCAUUCUGUGUUGCUCCUGGAUGCAGAGCCUGGACCUUCGAGAAGAAUCCUCAGGAGGCAGAGUCCAAUCAGAAGGGUCUUUACUAUCAGGUGAGCUGCACAGUAGAGGACAGCGGCCAGCACCCGUCCCCAGAGCUGUGGGAGCCAUGGCCAGGAGAGGCCUGGUGGCAUGUGCCGUGGUGGGGACUAGAGCCCCGCCGGAGGGGAUGGCAGCCUGAAGGACAGGGAUUUUGGAUGACGACCACUGGCUGACACACACCACAGUCGCAGCUUCUGAGCACGCGGGGGGCUGACUCACGGGAUCUUGUUCAGCCACACAGGCAUUAAAGUGGCCUUUCUGGGAUCAGCUGGGUUCCUUGCCUCGCUGGCAGCUGUGGCUCCUGGCCUCAGGCCUUGGCGAAGCCACUGGGCCCCAGCUGUGAGACUCGGAGCCAUGGGGUCCUUCCUCUCUCCACCUGCACAACUCUACUGUCCCUCUAGGGCUGGGGCUGGGGACAAGCCAGUCUACCUCAGACAGCAGACUAGCCAGCUUUGCUCCUGCUGAGCCCUAACCCUGCCUCUCCCCAGUCAGUUAACCGCUCUGAGCCUCAGUCUCCCUUUCUGUAAAAUGGGAACUAGUUCCACUUGGGUGCUUUUGUUGGGUAUUUCGUUAUGAGUUCAAAUCUGGGAAGUGAGUCCAUCCGUGGAUGUGUUUGGGUUGCCAGGCUAUGUGCCAGGCCCUGGGUUAAGUACUAUGUGACUAGCUGUUGGUAAAUUCCCAGUCAAUGUCCCUUCCUUUUAUCCAUAAGGAGUUUUUGGGCUCUGUUAUAGUUUGGAUAUGAGGUGUCCCCCAAAAUCUCCUACGUGAGACAAUGCAAGAACGUUCAGAGGUAAAGUGAUUAGAUUAGGGGAGUCACCUAACCAGUGGCUUUAAUUCAUCUGGAUUAACCAGGUGCUACCCACAAGCAGGUAGGGUGUGGCUGGAGGAGGCUGGUUACUGAGCGUGUGACUUUGGGGUAUAUAUUCUGUCCCGGUGGGUGGGGCCCUCUUUCCCUGCUUCCCUAUUGCCUGAGCUGCUUUCUUCUGCCACAUCUUCCACCACCAUGAUGUUCCGCCUCACCUUGGGCCUAGAGCUAUGGAGUCAGCCAACUAUGAACUGAGACCUCUGAAACCAUGGCCCCAAACAACCUGUCCCUCCUCUGUGUGUUGUGGUCAGAUCUCUUGGUCACAGCGGCACAAAGCUAAGACAGGUUUCCUGGCUGCAGAGGAUCAGCGGGGCUGUGGAGGGAGGCCCCG